UACGUAGGGUGCAAGCGUUGUCCGGAAUUAUUGGGCGUAAAGAGCUCGUAGGCGGUCUGUCGCGUCGGCUGUGAAAACCCGAGGCUCAACCUCGGGCCUGCAGUCGAUACGGGCAAACUAGAGUACUGCAGGGGAGACUGGAAUUCCUGGUGUAGCGGUGAAAUGCGCAGAUAUCAGGAGGAACACCGGUGGCGAAGGCGGGUCUCUGGGGCAGUAACUGACGCUGAGGAGCGAAAGCGUGGGGAGCGAACAGG
rnacentral:rRNA from 1 species